GAACUUGGUUUGCUAGUAUUUUUUUGAGAAUUUUUGCGUCUACAUUAAUCAGAGAUACUGGCCCAUAGUUUUCUUUACUUGCUGCAUCCUUGUCUG